CUGUAAUCUCAUCUCGUGCCACUGGCUCGUGUGCCUCAAGGAACACCUUCCGACCUCCGCGUUACAGAUGUAACCACCGAAGUUACGCCACAUUGCCCGGAGCCGCAGUUUUUAGAGGGGAGAAAGUCAAAAGGAAACUACUGUGUGAGUGCGGGCUACCAUGGAAAAAGCUAGUAAAGAUGGCAAGACAAACCCGGCAGCGACGGCGAGUCUUUUGUCAAAGAUAUUUUUCUGGUGGCUCAAUCCUCUGUUCAAAAUUGGAUACAAACGCAGGCUGGAGGAAGAUGACAUGUAUGACGUGCUCACAGAGGACAGGUCGGACAGACUGGGUCAGGAUCUGCAGAGAUACUGGGAUCUUGAGGUCCAGAAGGCUACCAAAGACAUGCGGACGCCUAGACUCACCAAAGUCAUCAUCAGGUGCUACUGGAAAUCAUAUGCGGUGCUGGGAUUCUUUACUCUGGUAGAGGAAGUCAUUAAAGUGGUCCAGCCAGUCAUCUUAGGGAUGAUGAUUCAGUACUUUGAGAAUUACAACCCAAACGAUAAGAAGGCUUUAUACGAGACCCUCGGCUACGCAGCUGCUUUGUCUAUCUGCACCAUCGGCCUGGCACUGCUCCAUCACCUCUACUUCUACCACGUCCAGAGAGCAGGCAUGAAGAUCAGAGUGGCCAUGUGUCACAUGAUCUAUAAGAAGGCUCUGUGUCUCAGCAGUUCAGCCAUGGGAAAGACCACCACCGGCCAGAUUGUCAACCUCCUUUCCAAUGACGUCAACAAGUUCGAUGAUGUGACUAUCUUCCUGCACUUCCUGUGGGUCGGGCCCCUCCAGGCAGCUGUGGUCGUGGGGCUGCUGUGGUUGGAGAUUGGUCCGUCAUGCUUGGCAGGCAUGGUGGUCCUAAUGUUCCUGAUGCCUGUGCAGACCCUAUUUGGAAGGCUCUUUUCUAAGUUCAGGAGUAAGACAGCAGUUCUGACUGACAGCAGAAUCCGUACAAUGAAUGAAGUGGUGUCUGGAAUUAGGAUCAUUAAGAUGUACGCCUGGGAGAAACCAUUUGCUGCUCUGGUCUCUGAGGUCAGAAGGAAAGAGAUCUCCAAGAUAAUGAGUAGCUCCUACCUUCGAGGUCUCAACAUGGCCUCCUUCUUUUGCGCCAGCAAGAUCAUCGUCUUCAUCACCUUCACCCUCUAUGUCCUCCUGGGAAAUACUAUCUCAGCCAGUCGUGUGUUUGUGACGGUGUCACUCUACACCGCCGUGCGGCUCACCGUCACACUCUUCUUCCCUAGUGCCAUCGAGAAGCUGUUUGAGAGCCGUGUCAGCAUUCGCAGGAUUCAGGAGUUCUUGAUGCUGGAUGAAAUCACAAAAGGCAGCACUGCACUGCCGCAGGAAGAGAAGAAGGAUGCUUCUGUGGAGAUCCAGGAUCUGUUCUGCUACUGGGACAAGAGUCUGGAUGCUCCAUCCCUGCAGAACAUCUCCCUCACUCUGAACUCAAAUCAGUUGCUGGCUGUAAUUGGACCAGUGGGAGCUGGAAAGUCCUCCCUGCUGAGCUCCAUCCUGGGAGAGUUGCCCACUGAAAAAGGUGUGCUGAAGGUCAAAGGUCAACUGACCUACGCUGCUCAGCAGCCCUGGGUGUUCCCUGGAACCAUCCGCAGUAACAUCCUGUUUGGGAAAGAGCUGAACACCCAGAAGUACGAGAAGGUCAUCAGAGCCUGUGCUCUAAAGAGGGAUCUGGAGCUGCUUCCAGAUGGAGACCUGACACUGAUUGGAGACCGAGGAGCCACACUCAGCGGGGGACAGAAAGCUCGGGUCAACCUGGCGAGGGCAGUGUAUCAGGAGGCAGAUAUCUACCUCCUGGAUGAUCCGCUGAGUGCUGUGGAUGCUGAGGUUGGGAGACACCUCUUUGAACAGUGUAUCUGUGGUCUGCUGAAGAAUAAGCCCCGAAUCCUGGUCACCCACCAGCUGCAGUACCUGAAAGCAGCAGACCAGAUUCUGGUCCUCAAGGAGGGUCACAUGGUGGCAAAGGGGACGUACAUGGAGCUGCAGCGGUCUGGAGUGGACUUCACCUCCCUGCUGAAGAAAGAGGAGGAAGAGGAGCAACAGCUGCCUCCUUCAGACGUCCCCACCAGGAGCAGAACUCUGUCCCAGAAUUCAGUGCUCUCUCAGUCCUCCUCUGUGCAGUCGGUCAAAGAUGGAGACCAAUUACCGGCAGAGCCGGUGCAGACGGUGGUAGAGGAGAGUCGAGCUGAGGGAACCAUCGGAGUGAGUCUGUACGUCAAAUUUCUAAGAGCUGGAGCAAGCAUCUUUACUCUGCUUGUUGUCUUACUGGUCAACCUCCUGGCUCAGGUAGCAUACAUCAUGCAGGACUGGUGGCUAGCUUACUGGGCUGAUGAGCAAGAGAAGCUCGGUGAUUAUAACAGCACUAUCAUCCACAACGGACAGAACAUCACCAAAGAGCUGGACACAGCUUUCUACCUGGGCGUUUAUGGGGGUUUGACAGCAGCCGUCAUCGUUUUUGGCUUCAUGAGGAAUCUGCUCCUGUUCAAUGUGCUGGUGAGGUGCGCACAGGCUCUGCACAACUGCAUGUUCAACUCCAUCCUCAGAACACCUGUGCGCUUCUUUGACAUCAACCCCAUCGGAAGAGUUCUCAACAGGUUCUCUAAGGACAUCGGUCAGCUGGAUUCUAACUUACCGUGGACCUUUGUGGACUUCAUCCAGGUGUUCCUGCAGAUUCUCGGGGUGAUCGCUGUCUCUGCGUCAGUGAUCCCCUGGAUCCUCAUCCCCGUUCUGCCCCUCCUCCUCAUCUUCCUCUACCUCCGACGUUAUUUCCUGCAAACCUCCAGAGACAUCAAACGCCUCGAGUCCACCACUCGGAGUCCAGUCUUCUCCCACCUGUCUUCGUCUCUUCAGGGUCUGUGGACGAUCCGAGCCUUCGGAGCCGAGGAGAGGUUCCAGAAAGCCUUUGAUGCUCAUCAGGACCUGCACUCAGCGGCCUGGUUCCUGUUCCUGACCACCUCUCGCUGGUUCGCCGUCCGACUUGACGGCAUCUGCUCCAUCUUCGUUACCAUUGUCACGUUUGGCUGCCUUCUGCUCAGAGACCAGCUGGAUGCUGGCUCUGUGGGUUUGGCUCUGACCUACUCCAUCACACUGAUGGGCAUGUUCCAGUGGGGUGUGAGGCAGAGUGCAGAGGUGGAGAACAUGAUGACGUCAGUAGAGAGGGUAGUGGAGUACACUGAACUGGAGAAUGAAGCACCCUGGGAAACCCAGAAGCGCCCACCUCCUGAUUGGCCCAGCAAAGGCCUGGUGACUUUCGACCACAUCAACUUCUCCUACAGCAGCAACGGACCGCUGGUGCUGCAGGACCUGAAAGCGAUGUUCAGACCCAAAGAGAAGGUUGGUAUUGUGGGGAGAACAGGUGCUGGGAAAAGCUCCCUGGUCUCAGCUCUGUUCCGCCUGGCAGAGCCUCAGGGAAAGAUCUACAUCGAUGGUGUUCUGACCUCAGAGAUCGGCCUCCAUGACCUGCGCCAGAAGAUGUCCAUCAUCCCUCAGGACCCAGUGCUGUUUACUGGCUCCAUGAGGAAGAACCUGGACCCUUUUAACCAACACACAGAUGAGGAGCUGUGGAACGCUCUGCAAGAGGUGCAGCUGAAGUCUGUGGUGGAGGAGCUGCCUGGUAAGUUGGAGACAGUUCUGGCUGAGUCAGGCUCUAACUUCAGCGUGGGUCAGAGACAGUUGGUGUGUCUGGCCAGAGCCAUCCUGAGGAAGAACCGCAUCCUCAUCAUCGACGAGGCCACGGCCAACGUGGACCCCAGGACAGAUGAGCUGAUCCAGAAAACCAUACGAGACAAGUUCAGAGAAUGUACCGUCCUCACCAUCGCUCAUCGUCUCAACACCAUCAUAGACAGUGACCGCAUACUGGUUUUAGAUGCAGGGAAAAUCCACGCAUAUGAUGAGCCUUACACCCUCCUUCAAGAUCCAGAAUGUGUCUUUUAUAAAAUGGUGCAGCAGACGGGCAAGCAAGAGGCAGCAGCUCUACUGGAGGCAGCUAAACAGGCUUUCGAGAACAGAAGCCGUCCUAACGUGUCAAAUGGACACGCACAGACAGCAGACGGUAACUUGGUUAUCUUUGAGACUGCUCUGUGAGCUCAGGGAGGAGCUGACUCACUGCUUUGCCACAAGACUUUCAGAAAGUGCCUCGGCUUGUGGGGGUCCCCACCCUGCCUCUGGUGAAGCACAGAGGGCCUCAUCCACUCCAGCUGGCGAGGAGACUGAGGAGGACAGAAGAUUUGCAGAGGCUCCACCCUCCACCCUCACUGUGGCCUUGAAUGGCUGAGCCAAAUCUAUGCACAUUAUGCUGUCAUUUCCCUCAAGCUGACAGAGCCUGGAGAUCACUGCUAAUUCAACCAUUAAAUCACAGAGAGAAGAGGCAGACGAUGAAGAUGUUUCCAGAAGACGCCUGGGCUCCCACUGUGAGUACACCAACAUCAGGAAGGGAAGGCUUCUGAUCUGAGUGAGCUGCAGUGACCUCCUUCAGACUGUGGCGAGAAGAAAUGAAGUUCUGCCCCCCCAGUCAGAAACGCCGGGUGGGACGGACCCCACCCGACCCCCCCGUUGCUCCAUCGCACCGUGAGGUCCCCUUCGCCACUGGACGGCUCUUCACCCCAGUCUGCUGGCAGCUGCGGGACGCGAACCAGCUCCCGGAGGAGCUGCUUCUGACGUUGCAGCGCAACGCUUAUCCCACUACACUACCAGAGGCCGGGGCACUCGGGGAAGCUCACACACAGCCUUUCAACCAGCUAGUGGGCAAAGUGUCUCCACUUGGUCUUCGUACAAUGAAGAACUUCUUUGAGAAGAGAGACCAGGACUGACAUAUAUUAACUGUCCAACACAGACAUUUGUUUGUUUAUGUUCAGUAUUUAGUGUAUCAGCAAAGUGUAAUAAUAGAAGUAAUCUGUAAAAUGUAAUAUGUAUUAACAGUUAUCCAAAAUGUCACAGUAUAGUGUCAAAAACUGUCAGUUCAGUAUAUUAAGGCAUCACAAAACUGUUGUAAAAUGUCAGUAUAGUAAGGUGUCAAACUGUUAAAACCUGUCAGUAUAGUGUCAGAAACUGUAACUAAAUGUCACAGUAAAGUUUCAAGUGUAACUUUUGAGUCUAUUUUCAGUAAGUAAGUAAUAUCACAAAAGUGAUCUUGUAAUGCAGAAAUGCCAAGUUUCUCUACUUUCAAAUAAAAUGUAAAACUCUGGCUAAUAAUAUUCACUUUCAUACAAUAUUAAACAGUGUCAAAAUAUUCUUUAGAAGUAUUUAUUUGAGUAACAAUCCUUGUAUCAGUCACAACAACAAAAAUGCAUUAUAUAUACACACAAGACAAGCUGUAACAAUAUGAACAGUAUUGUGUACACAGUGAUAGUUGGAUUUGAGUACUGAUAUUGCACUGUUUGAAAUAAUAAGAAGUGAAAUACAAGUCAAAGUAAUCUGUUACUAGAUGUAGUUUGAAACAGUUAAAUGUAAAUUAAGAAGUAGUAUGUAAAAAGAAAAAUAGUAUGUAAUGGUAGAAGUAAUCUAAUUUUAGAAGUAAUAGUAAUCCAAAAUAGAAAUAAGUCACUUAAAAUAUAAAUAAAAAUAAAAAUAUUUAGUUAAAUGUUCAGUUUCAGCUGAUUAGCAUUAGUUAAAGUAAUCAGUAGAUUUAGAAGUAAAAUGUAAUAAGAAAAACAGUAGAAUGGUAGAGCAAUCUAAUAUUAGAGGUAAUAGUAAAAGUAAUUUGUAAUAUAAAAGCAAUGCAGAAGUAACAGUGAUCCAAAAUAUAAUUCAAAAUGUCUGUAAAGCAUCACAAAACUGUUGUAAAAUGUCAGCAUAGUAAGGAGUCACUAAAUGUCACAGUAACAAAAUAUUCUUUAGAAGUAUUUAUUUGAGUAACAUAAUCAGUCACAACAACAACAAUAGAAAAGGGCAUUAUAUAUACAAGACUGUGUACAGAGUGAUAGUUGGAUUUGAGUACUGAUAUUGCACUGUUUGAAAUAAGAAGUGAAAUACAAGUCAAAGUAAUCUGUUACUAGAUGUAGUUUUUAAGAAUUAAGAAGUAGUAUGUAAUGGUAAAAGUAAUCUAAUUUUAGAAGUAACAGUAGAAGUAAUAGAAAUAAAAGUCACUUUAUAGUCAGGCAUAAAAAUAUUUAGUUAAAUGUUCAGUUUCAGCUGUAAUGUUGAACUGUUGAUGAGGAAUAGGCAGUAGUGUAUUGAUCAUUUUCCUUUGUAUGUUUCCUCCAGGUGUCUCCACUUUGUCCAGAGUCUUUGUACAAUGAAGAAGAUCUUUGAGACACAGGCCUCCAGGAGGAGAAGACGACAGCAGCUGAAGACCUGAAGUGGAUGAAAGAAUGAAGCUGUUAAUGAAAUAAAAGAGCUCCACCAUCUAA